GAUGAACGCUGGCGGCGUGCCUAAUACAUGCAAGUCGAGCGAACGGACGAGGAGCUUGCUUCUCUGAUGUUAGCGGCGGACGGGUGAGUAACACGUGGAUAACCUACCUAUAAGACUGGGAUAACUUCGGGAAACCGGAGCUAAUACCGGAUAAUAUUUUGAACCGCAUGGUUCAAAAGUGAAAGACGGUCUUGCUGUCACUUAUAGAUGGAUCCGCGCUGCAUUAGCUAGUUGGUAAGGUAACGGCUUACCAAGGCAACGAUGCAUAGCCGACCUGAGAGGGUGAUCGGCCACACUGGAACUGAGACACGGUCCAGACUCCUACGGGAGGCAGCAGUAGGGAAUCUUCCGCAAUGGGCGAAAGCCUGACGGGGCAACGCCGCGUGAGUGAUGAAGGUCUUCGGAUCGUAAAACUCUGUUAUUAGGGAAGAACAUAUGUGUAAGUAACUGUGCACAUCUUGACGGUACCUAAUCAGAAAGCCACGGCUAACUACGUG
rnacentral:rRNA from 1 species